rnacentral:rRNA from 1 species
AUCCUGGCUCAGGAUGAACGCUAGCUACAGGCUUAACACAUGCAAGUCGAGGGGCAUCAGGGUGUAGCAAUACACCGCUGGCGACCGGCGCACGGGUGAGUAACACGUAUCCAACCUGCCCUUUACUCGGGGAUAGCCUUUCGAAAGAAAGAUUAAUACCCGAUGGUAUAACAUGACCUCCUGGUUUUGUUAUUAAAGAAUUUCGGUAGAGGAUGGGGAUGCGUUCCAUUAGGCAGUUGGCGGGGUAACAG